UCUGCGGUUGAUGGAUCUCCGGGCCCCUGGAGCAUCCGCCCUCGAUAUAUAACCAGCAUUAUAGUGAUGUAUCAUCCUUUUUAAUAAUAGCCAGAGAUUUAGUUUUCUUGUCCUGAGCUGUUUAUAAGCACAUGUAUAAAAGUAUUUAUCUUCGUUUAUUUUAAAAAUAUACCUUAAAUAUGUGCAUUUUUCCCAAGCAGUAAUAGUUUAAGUAAAUUAUUAUAAUUAGUUACAAUUGGAAGUAAACUCCACCUUAAUAUAUAGAAAGAAAUGGUAGUGAUGCAUUACCUGCUGAGUUGGUUACCUUAGACAUUUUCUUCAAGAGACAAUGUCUAAUCUGUUUUACCUGCUUUGCAUGGCUUCAGCAGCAAAAGCCUUUAACAUUAAGGAAUCUAUUAUUGAACUUGUAGAAUCUAAAGAAUUUCUACUGAGAAAUUACAGUUGUAAUUGAUAACAAAACUAUUGUGAAUUUCACUGACUUCAGCAUUUUUGCAAUCAAGAUACUAGUUUUCAUAUUCCAUUUAAUCUAUAUUUUUAAAAGCUGAGGCGAGGACAGAUCGUGAGAACUGGUAGUAAAUAGUAUGGAUUCUGGAGCCUGACUGCUGGAGUUUAAAUCCUGGCUUUAGCACUUGCAUUGGAGAAGAUCAUGGAAAGGAAGUGAUCACAGGUUGACCCACAAGCUGGACCCAGACAACUACAGGCUCCUCAUCUCCUCCCUGUCCUUGGAAUGUAUAUUCCACCUACCAUUGCCAUAACCAGUGCUGAGUCAAGGAUGUAGAAUGUAAGGUAUUACUGAGACCAUCUGAACUGAAUAUGUGACUGAAGGCCUCUACACAAGCUUUUAAGAUUCAGGUGAAAUCUACUCACCUUGCAAUCACCGAGACAAGUCUCAUAUAUCAGUUCCCUUGGUUAUUAAAACUGCUAC